AUGUAUUUUCAGGUGUUCCCUGACAUAGAGGUAAAGUUAUAUUUUGUCUUUAUUUACAGUCCAAGUCAGCAUCCAGAUUUUUUUUAUGUGAAACCUUCAAUUCAGGAUAGCUUGACUGGCUACUUGUGCUUUUGUUGUGUCUUCCAACUGAAAAGGGAAAUGGCACUUGAGAAAUUUGAGGCAUUUAAAGCUAGUUUUCAUUUUCUGGAAGACUGAAAUAAAUUGUACAGUUACUUAAAAAAAAAACCAAACAAAAACCCAAAAAACAACAAAAACAAACAACUUCUUCCAGCUGUCCUGGCAGGAAUCUGAAUCCAGAAAUGGGAAAACAUAGGUCUUUCAGAAAGAGAAGGGUGUAUGAGUUCAGACAGCUAAUUCAAACAUGUUCUUACUUCACAUGCAGCCACUCUGCUAAAGGUUGAACAUGAAAGGUAUUGUUCAGAAGAAGCAUGAAGUCUUCCCAACACUGCUGUGAGCUGAAUGAAAUAAUAAUUAUAGUAAAGUAUGAUUUCAAAGAAGUAUUGGCAUUUCAUAUUGCAGGCCUGACAGUUCAAGCAUCAGCUACAGCAAACUGAGGAACAUGACUAGAACUCUCAACUUAGAAUUCAGCCUGAUUUCAUAAGCCCAACCAAGUUUUGAAAGCUCCUGGAAAAAAAGAAACUAAUAAUAAUAAUUAAAAAAAAAAAAAUAAAAAUACACCACAUCCCCGUACACUGACAAGAAGAGUCUUUAAAGGUUAUUCUAUGUACGCUGCCCUUUCCUGAGCAGGAAAGAUCUAUAAUGGCAAAAAGAGCUACCCAAAUGUCAACAAGCAGGAAUGAAGAUAUCACUCCAUUUACAUUGUAAUAUGUGGAAAACACUAAAGCGAAUAAGCAAAAUUUCGAAAGGAUUUUAAGGCUACUGACUAAAAGAAAUAGGAACUUACACUGAUCAGAGCAUGAUGAGUGCAAGGAGGGGAAUUGUCUGGACAUUAAUGAUGCUACUGACCCAAAAGCAAGAUGAAGAGAUAAACAACCCUGCCUGGAGACUAGUGCUCAAGAAUAACAGCAGGAAAUAACCAGCAACAGGAAAUGAUUGGAUUAAAUAAUUGAAAAAAAUGUUUUGUUCAAACCAGGGAAUUGGUGACAGAAAAACAGCAUGAAAAAGAGAAUUUACUCUUCACUAGAAAGAUCCUCAAAAGAUCACAGAGGAACAACUGUCUGUAGGUUCAGCUGCUGUGCAGAAAAGAAUUAUGAUCUCCUGUGAGGAAGCACUGGAGCCUUGUCCUUAUGGCUGGACCCUGGGAUAAGACUUAAUUAACACCUGGAUAAUUAAUAAAAUCAUCUUUGCCUGGUUAAUAGGAGGGCUGUGUAGGACGGCUGUGCUGUUCUCCUGGUUUACUUCUGGAGUAAUCAAGAUCUACAUACACACGCUUUAUGGUGUUUUCCUAAUGUUUAAAAACGAAGGGUGCACUUCUGUCAUAGGUUAGCCAGCAUAGUCCCGGAAGGGAUGUCCUUGCUGAGGGGUGCUUACAGUUUCCUCUGGGAACUGAUAGAACCUAUCAGCUG